ACGGGUGAGUAACACGUGGGUUACCUGCCCCGAUGACCGGGACAACCCGAGGAAACUCGGGCUAAUACCGGAUGUGGUCUUCGGACCAAAGGAAGCUUCGGCCUCCGCAUCGGGAUGGGCCCGCGGCGCAUUAGCUUGUUGGUGGGGUAACGGCCUACCAAGGCGACGAUGCGUAGCUGGUCUGAGAGGGCGAUCAGCCACACUGGGACUGAGACACGGCCCAGACUCCUACGGGAGGCAGCAGUGGGGAAUCUUGCGCAAUGCGCGAAAGCGUGACGCAGCAACGCCGCGUGGGGGAAGAAGGCCUUCGGGUUGUAAACCUCUUUCAGUUGGGACGAAGCCUUGCGGGUUAAUAGCCCGUGGAGGUGACGGUACCUUCAGAAGAAGCCCCGGCUAACUACGUGCCAGCAGCCGCGGUAAUACGUAGGGGGCAAGCGUUGUCCGGAAUCAUUGGGCGUAAAGAGCGUGUAGGCGGCCCGAUAAGUCCGCUGUGAAAGUCCAGGGCUCAACCCUGGAAUGCCGGUGGAUACUGUCGGGCUCGAAUCCGGAAGAGGUGAGUGGAAUUCCUGGUGUAGCGGUGAAAUG
rnacentral:rRNA from 1 species